rnacentral:tRNA from 1 species
UUAAUUGAAGCCAAAAAGAGGCGUGUUACUGUUAAUGACAUCAUUGAAUAAUUAUAUUCCAAUUAAG